rnacentral:lncRNA from 1 species
GCCGAUGGCGGUGGACGCAGCAGGGCCCCGCGGUCUGAGUGCGGGCAGGCGCGCGUGGGCGUGUCUCCCUGGCCCACGCGUGUCCCCGGCAUCAGUGUCUCGGCUCUGGUCCAGGACGAAGACUUCUGAAAGCGAGCCAAGGAGAAUCGCAGUUCUUAACGGAGCCCCUGACUGCCGGUGGAACUGCCCUGUGGAAGGAGGUGAUUUAGAAGACAGUGAGUUGAUCUGGGGCAAAGUGAAGCAUCAGUAGCGCCUUCCAUCCCUUCACCUCAUCUGGAUCUCUUCACUUCACUCCACGUCUGUCGUCUCCCACGCGUGAAGCAACAUGGCCAAGUGAAGUAACCAGUAAAGUCACAGGAUGUUUCUUGGCUUCAAACCAUUUGGAUAAGUGAUGGCAGCAAGCUUUGGACUGUAAAGUCACCUCUUUAUAAGAGGACAGGAGCUCUUUGUAAAGAUUAUGAGACCUGAAGCUGGGGGAUGGCUGAGAAGGGAAAAGCACCUCUGCACAAGCGUGAGGAAAGGAGUUUGUUCUUCCAAAUCCAUGUAGAAAUCUUGAUGCCGUGCCGUGAAUCCCAGCACUCCUACGGGAAGAUGGGAGGCGGAGGCAGGAGUUCAUCUGGAAGCUUGAGGCCAGCCACCCAGAUCCUCAGAGCUGCAGACAAAAGAGAGGCCCUGCAGCAAAAGAGUGGAAGGUGAGAACCAACUCCGGAAAGUUGCCCUCUGACCUUUACAAGUGUAUAUGUCCACAUACAUACAAUAAAAUCAAUUGCUCAAUC